ACUGAAGGGACAUAUCAAAAGACACAGAGACUGCUCCACCCAACUAAAGGAGGAACUUCAGCUCAGUGCACCUGGCCAUCCCUGACCCUAGGACUUGCAGGGGCCCACUUUUGACAACUGGCGCUGCUAGAAGCACUCCGGAUGAGUGACUUGGCAAGCAAUCAGUUGUAAGGGACCUCCACCUCAACAGACUUGACACUCAUCUGCCUGGUGCCUGGAACCUUCCAGGCCACAGACUCCUCUCUCCUGUUUCUUCUUCUCACUCGAUGCGAACACAAAUGUGUGUGGUCACCUUCUUGGAAGAGGAUAUCUCUCCGGAACCCGUGCACACACUCAUGGUAUCCAGCAAGAACCAGAUGCUGAACUCAGACUCCUUGCCUGCCAGUCACACAUCGCUCUGACCCGGUGCAAUGGCCCAGUGGCUGAAUCCUCACCUUGCAAGUGCCAGGAUCCCAUACGAGUGCCAGUUUGUGUUCCAGCUGCUCCACUUCCCAUACAGCUCCAUGCUUGUGGCCUGGGAAAGCAGUGGAGGACCGCCCAAAGCCUUGGGCCCCUGCACCCACAUGGCAGACCCGGAGGAAGCUCCUGGCUCCUGGCUUUGGAUCAGCUCAGCUCCAGCCAUUGCAGUCACCUGGGGAGUGAACCAGUGCCUAGAUCUUGGAGCAGUCAACCUCUGGAACCUGGAGAAAGUAAAUUCCUGCUCAUCGUAAAUCACCUCGUUUCAAACAUUUUGCUGUCACAUUGGGAAUAGACAGAAAAUUCUAUAACCAGUAAUGAUAAAAACAAAAUGUGCAACAAAGCAACAUGAGACUGACUUUUGAGAGAAAAAUAUUUAUUCACACAAUGAAAAGUGAAAGUUAAAUGUGUUCUUCCUCGGCAACUUCCUCAAUAAAAAUAUGGUAGAAUUAAUUGAUACCUCUGAUUUUUUCCAUGUGAUAGCAUUUUAGACCUUGAAUAGUUAAUAUCAGUUACAUCUUAUGUAUCAAUAUCUUUUUUGUGAAAAAUAAGAAACGCAGAUACAUAUAUGCAGAUAUAUUCAAACAUAGCACGAAUAAACCAGUUGGAUCUCCAUUAGAAUUAUCAGAUUUUUCCAAAAACUACAAUCAGAAAUACAGCUGAACAUAAAACUUUUCCACCUGCGUCUCCUUCUCCAGCCCCUGUCCCCCACCCUUUUUUUGGUUAUUUUCUGUGUCAAGUUCACGCUGCAUAUGGGAUUUAGCUUAACUGUGCCUUGAACUGUGGCUGCUUUACUACAACAUUAGGGUUGCUUUCCUUUUCAACCCUCUAGCAAAUGCAAGUUUCAAUAAAUCGUAGGGAGUUUGUGUUGCUACCAGUCACAGCUCUAGUUAUCUUAAAGAGAAAUCAGAGAGAUCAUCUAACUCCAACCGUAAAGGAAUGCUCAAUGGGCAAAAAAAUCCAAGGACUUGUGUCUGAACUCAGAGCAAAUCACCCCUGAGUGUGGCACUCUUGCUGUGGUGUGCUAAGUAUUUCCCAUAGCAGGACAUAGCAAG